UUCCAGACUCCUACGGGAGGCAGCAGUGGGGGAUAUUGCACAAUGGGGGAAACCCUGAUGCAGCGACGCCGCGUGAGUGAAGAAGUAUUUCGGUAUGUAAAGCUCUAUCAGCAGGGAAGAAAAAAGACGGUACCUGACUAAGAAGCCCCGGCUAACUACGUGCCAGCAGCCGCGGUAAUACGUAGGGGGCAAGCGUUAUCCGGAUUUACUGGGUGUAAAGGGGGCGCAGACGGCGAUGCAAGCCAGGAGUGAAAGCCCGGGGCCCAACCCCGGGACUGCUCUUGGAACUGCGUGGCUGGAGUGCAGGAGGGGCAGGCGGAAUUCCUGGUGUAGCGGUGAAAUGCGUAGAUAUCAGGAGGAACACCGGUGGCGAAGGCGGCCUGCUGGACUGCAACUGACGUUGAGGCCCGAAAGCGUGGGGAGCAAACAGGAUUAGAUACCCUAGUAGA
rnacentral:rRNA from 1 species